GAUGCUUCAGUUAAACCACAUUGUUCUACCAUCAUGUUCUGCACUUUCCCUCAUGGACAUGUUUGUCCUCCCUCUGCCCGACUAGUGGAAUGCCCUCUUUCCGUCCCCUUUCUCCAUAUGUUGAAAUCCUCCCCACACAUCUAGGUUGAUCAUACAGUCCACGUCUACCAUAAAGGCUUUCCUCAUUUCACGUGAUGAAAUAUGAUCUCCUCUAGUGUUAAACCCCCAGAGCGCUUUGUUUCUCUUACAUGGUACUCAUCAGUACGAAAUUUGUAUUUGCCCCUUACUAUAGUCAUACAACUCUAAUACUCUGUUUCUCUUCCUGAAAAUCCACUGAAGUUAGGAGUGAUAGCUUAUUUUUUUUUUUAAUCAACUCACCCCGGCACCAGAUAUAACUCUCUGUGUACAUGGAUGCACGUACACAUUACACACACACAGCAACGUACAAGACUCAUGCACUCUCUAUCAUCGUGAUGAAAAGAGAAAUACCCAUUGCUCUGCUCUUUUCUCUGCAUCUAUUAUUCAGGAAACAUACACUGAAAUACUAAUCAUGGCUAUACUUUUUUUAUUCCUAGGGCAUCUAAGAUAUAUCUCAUUCCUGCAGCUCAUGAUCUUUUUAAAACUAUUUCAAACUAGAGGCGCUACUGGACCAGCUGCUUGCUGUCCUGCGUAUUUGGAAGACUCCCUUUAUGGAACUGUACACAGACCAAAGUGGGUCUCUCCCAGGCAUCACCUGCAUCCCUGUGUUUCCCAAGGUCUUCAGACAGACCUUGCCAACUCCCGGGCGACUUGAGAAAGCGCUGUCCUUCUCAGGUUGCCUCAAAGAAGCAUGAAAUCCCUGGGAACUUCUUGUGCCCUUUGAACAAAUCAGCUCGAUGAAGGGAGAUGACUCAGUCUCCUUUGCCCCCGAAAGCCGGAGCCAACUCUGGCUACCAGCAGUCUUGGCUUCACAAAAGAACAAUUUACCCUGGUUCCCUCCCAGACUCCAGUCAGUCUCCCUGCAGCUUCAAGUGGCAUCAAAGAGGGAAAAUGUGUCUGUUGAAUCUUUGUAUUGGUGUAUAAACCGGUCCUGACUUGGCCUGGAGCAAGACUGCUGAUGGCAAAUUGAGACCUGGAGACACAUCUCAUUGCCUGAUGGAUGGAAGAAGCUACCCAGCCACGUUGCCUCAUUUUUCUCAGGAGGAGGGAGGACUACACCUCUGUUCAGAGGAAAUAAAUCACAGGGUCAGAGGUCAGAGGGCAUUAGUCUAUAAAGUUUUACGACCUGUAGCUGACAGUUAUUUCUCUUGGAUAGAGGAACAAGAAAAAGAAAAGACAACUUGUACUUGUUCUCUUUCUCAUUUCUUAUCUCUCUCUGAAUUUAAUUUCCUUGUUGUUGCAUUCAAUCCCAAAACAUUGCUUUCUCAGCGUUUCUAUUAUUUAUUCUUCACUAUCUCAUUCAUUUUUACCACUGUUCGCUCCAGAAUUCUAUUUACCUUUUCUCAGUCGUGCUAUUACUGUUUUAUUUGUUUCAGCCAGCUUGUCAUCCUUCUCCAGGAACUGUUAGCAAAGACUUGUUUAUUGACAAAUUCCUGUCUCCUUGAAGAAAUGCUGAAUUAAAUUGUUGAGA